GGAAGGCUGUAGCUCAGUGGGCAGAGCACAUGCUUAGCAUUGAGAAGGACCUGGGUUCAAUUUCUGGCAUCUCCA